UUCAUGUUAAUAACUGACUACCGAGACAUGCUAUUUGGCUCUAUGUGUCUGUUUCCCACAGAAAGGAUGUCGGGCCUGGUGUUGAUGGGCAAGCUCUCCAGAACAUGGGUACCACACGUGCAGCACGGGCUUGGGCCUCAGUCAGGCACGCUGGAGCACUCAUUGCCGCUCUGGUGCCACCCACAGGACGAGCUCACACAUGCUCACUCUGCAUGUACAAGCAGCAGAAAAAUGAGCCAAAGCAUCCUUUGAAGCAAAACAUUACAUAGAAUGCAAUUCGUUCUCACUGUGUCUCUCUUCUCCUGGAAACUAUUACUGAAGAUAAAUCAGGUGAGGCUGCAGUGCAUCUUGCUCCUCCAUGGGCAGGUCCUAUUAGUAGC
rnacentral:lncRNA from 1 species